rnacentral:lncRNA from 1 species
GGUCAUACAGGCUGAACCAUAUUCACCUCUAGGAAGCACAUUCAGGAGGGAACAUGGGGCUCAAUAUGAGAGAAAGUCAAAAAUGCAACUUCCUUAUGGCAAAUAUGGGCAACAAUUAGAAGAGCAAGGAAGGGGAAUUCCCCCCGGCCCCAUAUUUUCCAGCUGAGCUGUGCUUGUCAGGGUAAACAGCGACAAAAAUAAUCACAGUUGCUUGCCACUUGGAAUACUAUUAUCUGAACAGUUGGUGGAUAUGAACUGUUUUUAAAACGGGCUAUCAAAACAAACCCAGGGAGAACAUCUGUGGGGCCACGGGCCUGCGAGCCAGCUGAGGAAGGAAGCCAUAACCCAGCAGCCUCUCCAUCAAGUGUCCUUGCUGGGCAGGCGAGGGGGCGUCCCAAAGAUCACGAGGAUGGGAUGGGGUGGCCCAGGGUGGGAGGAGGCAAAAACAGGAAAGCAAGGGUCCGGCAUGCAAACCAAUUCUGAGCAACAUACAGAAAUGCAACUUCUAGAAACAAUGAGGCGUAGGUAACGCGGGACCUCGAGCAGCGAUGGGAGGAUGGGGUGGCUGCAGGUUCCACUGAAAU